rnacentral:rRNA from 1 species
GAUGAACGCUGGCGGCGUGCCUAAUACAUGCAAGUCGAGCGAACUUUUGGGAGCUUGCUCCCAAAAGUUAGCGGCGGACGGGUGAGUAACACGUGGGCAACCUGCCUAUAAGACUGGGAUAACUUCGGGAAACCGGAGCUAAUACCGGAUAACAUAUGAGACCACAUGGUCUCAUAUUGAAAGAUGGCUUUUAGCUAUCACUUAUAGAUGGGCCCGCGGCGCAUUAGCUAGUUGGUGAGGUAAUGGCUCACCAAGGCGACGAUGCGUAGCCGACCUGAGAGGGUGAUCGGCCACACUGGGACUGAGACACGGCCCAGACUCCUACGGGAGGCAGCAGUAGGGAAUCUUCCGCAAUGGACGAAAGUCUGACGGAGCAACGCCGCGUGAGCGAAGAAGGUCUUCGGAUCGUAAAGCUCUGUUGUUAGGGAAGAACAAGUACCGUUCGAAUAGGGCGGUACCUUGACGGUACCUAACCAGAAAGCCACGGCUAACUACGUGCCAGCAGCCGCGGUAAUACGUAGGUGGCAAGCGUUAUCCGGAAUUAUUGGGCGUAAAGCGCGCGCAGGCGGUCCUUUAAGUCUGAUGUGAAAGCCCACGGCUCAACCGUGGAGGGUCAUUGGAAACUGGGGGACUUGAGUGCAGAAGAGGAGAGCGGAAUUCCACGUGUAGCGGUGAAAUGCGUAGAGAUGUGGAGGAACACCAGUGGUGAAGGCGGCUCUCUGGUCUGUAACUGACACUGAGGCGCGAAAGCGUGGGGAGCGAACAGGAUUAGAUACCCUGGUAGUCCACGCCGUAAACGAUGAGUGCUAAGUGUUAGAGGGUUUCCGCCCUUUAGUGCUGCAGCAAACGCAUUAAGCACUCCGCCUGGGGAGUACGGUCGCAAGACUGAAACUCAAAGGAAUUGACGGGGCCCGCACAAGCGGUGGAGCAUGUGGUUUAAUUCGAAGCAACGCGAGGACCUUACCAGGUCUUGACAUCCUUAUGCCUUCUCUA